GCAUGCGCACAGGCACGCGGCGGAGGUGUUCCUCGCUCUGCGCAGCAAAUCCGCCGAGCUUUGUUAUGGUUAAUCCUCGAGGCAACAGAGCGCAUGCGCCAGGACACUCAUAACUAGCAUUCAAAUCUUCAAAGCCUCGAGGUGCAGGCGAGCAGUCGAUUCCUGGAGCCUGCCUCGGGAACAGACUAUUGUGGCUCCCAGCGGCCCCUGCUCCCCUCGCACGCGUAAUGAGGAGUCGAAAACAACGCACGCGUAGGUCUGCAGCGACUGCACCAGUUGCUCGAGCUCUUCCCACUGCAGGAGCUCAGAACUGACAAGAACCCUGACCAAAGCAGGUAAUGGCAACAUAUGCACACAGAUACACACCUGAUACAGAAUCUGGCACUUGACAGUCCUCCCAGAGCUUCUUGCUACUUUUUAGGCUGCUCUACAGCUAUUCUGUCCUUUUCCCCCUCAUUCCCCUAUGUCUUGCCCUUUCCUUCGCCCUGUGCCUUCUCCAUUGCUUUUUCAGGCUUUCUCCUUUCUUUCCUCGCUUCCUUCCCUAUGCCUUCCCCCUGUGAUGACCCCAUGUUCUGCUGCUGUUCUCAGCUGACGAUCCUUAAACUGCACUUUUCAAAGACAUGGGAUCAGGCUACGUACUAUCACUGACUUAAAAAAAAAAAAUUAAAAACAAACAAGUGCAGUAUUAUGUAUAGAUAACGAACUCCUGCUUGAAAACCAAUAGCAUCUCCACAUCCUGGAGUGUCACCAUCACCCCCGGGUUGGGCUGGUGCUGCUCAUCUGCCCUGCAGUGCUGCUCAAAUGGCACCGGCACCUCCUGGCAUGGCCUGCCACCUCCCUGUGUCACCUCUACGUGUCACCUCAUCUCACCUCUGCAGUUCUGACCCCACACCUCCACCCCGUGUCCCCCCAUGUCCUCACAUGUCCAUGUGUCCCCACACAUCCCCUCAUGUCUCAAGUCCCCCCACAUCCCCUGCCCCAAUUCAGUCUAUGCUGAUCUCACCAUGGGAUUGAGGACGGGGGCAGGGAUGCCUGUGGGGUGCGUGGAGUCCUGGGACAAGUUGAUGGCUGUGCACAGGGGGGUGAUGGUGCCCUCGGCGCACGGCUGUGACAGGGGGGUGUGAGUCAUUGCCCCCAAAAUGGGGCUUGUGCCCCACGCAUGUGGGCAAGUUGUAUGGGGAGUGCUUUCUGGAGAUGAUCUGUCUUUUCUCCAAAUCUGCAGCAACUUCAGCAAUCCCGUGUCGUACCGCAGCAGAAAUGGGGCACUGCCGUACGUCAGCGAUCUCUGACUCAAGCACAGGGACUGCACGAAGGACACACGCUGCAGCCUCCCUGUUUCUAUGGGGUUUGGGAUUGAUGUUUGAGCCAAAAGGCCUCAUGGUGCCAUACAGGCAGGUGCUGGGUUCACCCACUGAGGACGCCAAAUCUUAAAAUAAUGUCACAGCGGUCUUUAAUUGCUGUGCGAGGAGAUGACGUGCAUUUCUCCCUGGGGAGCUGUAAGCUGACCCCACAGUGUGGCAGACAGCACCAAAAAGGGAUGCCAUCCUGUACUUUCCUACCCUAGUAACUCCUGGUUCUGCUGGUACAUCUCUUGUACCUGGAGCUGGCUCUCCAUCUGGCUGAGAUGUCAUCUUUAACACUUCAAAACAAGCCUCAGGAGAAAAGAUUUUGGUGAUGUGACAUGAAAAUAGACAGCACAAAUAUAGAGCAGGAUAACAGAAGAUGUACACGCUGGGUGUUGAAUAUCAUUUGGAAACCAAACCCCAGUUACUUGACAGUCCAGGAAAUUUUUCACAGCUGAGCCAUUGUGUUUUCUUCAGAAGUUAGAAACAAGAUUGGCAGAUUCAUGUCCGUAUUCACCCACGCAGCAAAGUACUGGAAGAACUGCAUUAUUUCAUCCCACUCUUCAGUGAGUUUCUAUUAUUUACCAUAUGGAAGGACAGAACCUGCCUGUACAAAUCUAUCCUACGCUGACCUAAGCAGAAGCAUUAGAGGUCAUAUAAAUGUUCCUUGUCUUAGUUACUGAAUCUGGUUUCUGUAAUCUGAAGACACAAUGAAGGUAAGGCUGCUUACACACUCUUUUCAGUUGUUUUUCAGGACAAUAGAUUUAAUGACAUAAAAAUGAAUUAACUGACUCUCCUCUCCUUACACUCUAUUAAUUGAAGAUACUUGAAGUUGAACUGGAAAAGCAGUACAUAAAAGAUUUAUUGUUCCCGAUGGAAUCUUAGUCCUGCUGCCUUUUAUAUCCAUUCUGAUAUCACUGAAUCAACCUGAAGUCCUAUGGAUAAAAGAAGGAAUUAUUUUAGAUUUUCCCGAGGCUCAGCCUUCAUCACAAUAUAAGAUAUACAGUUGUAUCACCACCAUCCCUGCAACUCUCUUCCUACUCUCAAGUUUACUGGAUUUCUUGUUACUUACUGAUUUCCAGCUUCCAAGGUCUGCGUAAGAUACCUUUCUGGUUAAGCUCCUGUACUGAUCUCUCUCUAUUAUUAUUAUUAUUAUUUAUUUUUUUCUUCUGUAAAUUAAUGCUAGUUAGUGAUUGCUACUUGGGUCACUAUCAUCUUCUGCUCUCUCAUCCCAAGUGUAUUACAAGAAUGAAAAACUAUUUAUGGUUGAACUGUACUAACUCUGUCUUCCUUUACUGCACUUACUUGAAGUGCUUUAAAAGGACUCAAUGGAGGACAGGGAAGUAUUUUCAAAUUAUAGCUGUGAGUGAUGACCAGAGAAUAAGAAACCUCCGACCUGAAAUUAGAGGAGCUGUUGACACUGGCUACAAUUCUGAAAAAGCCAAAGAAGAAACAAUAAUAUUAUGUCAUUCACUGGGGGAAAAAAAAAAAAAAAUCCACUGUUAGAUUUUUAGCAAAUAAACAAGUAUAUAUGAUUACAGAGAGGGAAAAAAAGGAUUUUUGGAACUGUGUCUAAGUUUGAAUAAAAUGCUUUUAUGCGU